AGCCAGGCGUUACUACGAUGGCCUAUUUUUUUCACUUCCGUUGGCAUGUCGCUAGCGAUGACCGUUAGAGAGAGCCAGUCUUAAAAGAGAGAAAAUCGGGAGAAAUUUUUGUAACCACCACUGUUUGGUGUGUAUACUCAGCCAACUUCGUAUAUACAAGAUUUUGUUGCACGUUCAUGAAAAAGAAUUCAGAAAUGGGAUCUGCGACUCGAGCAAGCACUAGCAGUAAUGCUGGAAGUGGGUCCAACCAAACUGUUGCUGCUCGAGAAGCUUUCCAGGUUCUUCUGGAGUUGUCAAAGCUCCUUAAUACAGGAUUGGAUGCUGAAACAUUGGCCAUCUGUGUCAGACUUUGU